ACUGAGCUCGGUAGUGUGAGCUUGUAACCGAAGACAUAAGUAUUAUUGAAGUGGUUGGAUGUUGGUUCGGUCCACAAAGUAGGGUCUUACUAGGAUAAUCUCUAGCCUGCCUGUUCCAAGUAGGGAGUUAGGCCUUGGAUUUUGGCAAAAGUCCAGGGUUCGCUGCCACUAAAGACCGAGGGAACCACGUGAGACUGGUUUCACAGAGGAGUGUACUCUCAUCUUUACAAAAAAAAAAGUGUUUUACUUUUUUGAACAAUUUAGGCGUCAGCAUAUAGUACACUUUG
rnacentral:SRP_RNA from 1 species